AUUUAUUUCCUUCUACUUUAUCAUAUAAUUAAAAAAAUGUAUAUAUAAUUAUAUAUUAAAAUAAAAUAAACAGUGUUAAAGGUCCUCUAAAUUAACAAAUCAAAGUGAGUAGUGAAAGGCAGUAAAGAGCCAACACAAUUGUAGGGCGUAGAUAAAAUAAUUUCCAAGACAGCAAUUCAAUUUUAAUUUUAACGAUCCUUUCGCUUUAUUCUAUACGUUUCGGACUCAAUUCGAGCCUUCUUCAGUAAUUCUGAUAAAAACAAAGAAAAAAAAUAUAUCAAAUAAGAAUACAGUAAAAACGCAAUAUCAGUAAAAUACAAGAGAGAGAAGAAAGCAUAGUCACAUGCAUGCAUGGUCUGUAGGAGCGACGCGACUUCGUCAGAGCUGAUCCAUCCGAGAAAGCCCGAUACAAGAAGCCCUCUCAGCGGCACAAAGCUCGAAAAGCGAUGCACUAACAAAAUAAAUAUAAGAUACAAAAUCUAGUCACAAGACUUAAAAAUAGAAAUUCAUUAACGUUAGUCAAAAGCCAUUCACUCGGACAAGAGACAGACCAGCAGAAACGACACGAAUAAUCAACACGCUAACAGUCGAAUAGGCCUAUAAUUCAAAUGGCAACGGUAAUGAUGUCAUAAUGUGGUCGGCAAUAACAAACUAUAUACAAAGAGGACAAAGCCAGUCAAAUAGAAAACAACCCGUUAAAUCUUAGGCAUGUUUUCAAUUAUCGACAGACACGAAGUAUUCAAUUUUAAAGUAUCGCUUUGGAGGUUCAACGCAUUCUUUUGGCGCUUAAUAUAAAUCAUUUCAGAUAUUAGUCUUUUUCCUAAAAACAUUUCCUCGUCCAAAACUCAACAUCAUCGAAAUCAAAAGUGUGAUUAAACGCUCUAUGUUCGGCAAUGACGGACGUAAGAUUCCUUCUAUGACUGAUGGCAGAAGAAGGGCACGAUUAUUGGUUUAAUAGAUAAAGUUUUCUGGCUUUCUCAUCCUAAAUUUCACAAAGAAAAUCUCGAAUUUAUUGUUAACAUUCUUCUGAACAAUGGAUAUCCGUUCUCUCUUUUCUUCCACACAAUUGCCGAUCGGCUUAAUAUCCUAUUUCAUAGAUUUAAUAACAAACAUGAUAACGUUUUGAAUGAUGAUGAGAGUGUGAUUGAUGAUGAGAGAGAUGGAAGUAAGAUUGCAUAUUUUAAUGUUCCAUAUAUGAGGAACAUAUCAGAACGCUUCCGAUACUGCGUCAGAGAUCUUGAUGUUAGGCUUUCUUACACCGGAAUAAACAAUUUGCACAGAUUUAUUAAAGUUGGUAAGGACGGUUUACAGAAGGAUUUGCGUAGCAAUAUAGUGUAUAAAAUUAAUUGCACGGAUUGCGACGCCUCUUACGUAGGACAAACAGGUCGCUUGUUAAGGACAAGGAUUAAAGAACAUAGGCUGAUGGCAGAGAACUAGACGUGAGCGCUUACGUCUGUCGUAGUCGUGGAAGUAAGACAGAGACAAACCGUAUAUCGUAAAGACCAUUGUGAAUGCGGAAAGUGUAUCGUGAACGAGAAAAUUUACCUUUUUCACAACCGCUAUUAAGAGUAAUAUAAAAAAAUGUCUGAUCAUUUAAAUUACUGCAAUACUAUUGCUGAUUUGCCUGAUAAAAUCAGUACAGAUGACUGGGAUAAUGGUUGUGAAUCUGCAUCUAUUGAUAUUGACGAAAAGAGUGCGAUGAGUUUCUCAUUGAAUUAUAUAGAGAACGUCCAUUUUUAUAUAAUAAAAGUAAUACCAAUUUUAAGGAUAGUUUGAUGAAGCAAAAUGCUUGGGAUGAAAUAUCCAAAAUAAUGACUAAAACUAAUGGUGACAUGUACACUCCUUCAUAUUGUUAAAAAAGAUGCAUCUCCUUAAGAGACCAAUACAACAGAGAAAAAAGGAAAGCUGAAAUGGAAUGUAAAAGUGGAAGUGCUGUGGCUAAAGCUACUCGAUUUCCUUUUUUUUCACAAUUAGUAUUCCUAGAUCACGUCAUUAAAAGACGAAGAAGCUACACUAAUUGUGUAAAAUCUCAUUUAAGUAUAGUUGAUGAAAAUAGUAUUUGUGAAUCACAAAGUGCUACAAAUGAAUCAAGCAAUGAAGAAAAUGAAAAUGUAUAUAAGCACUUAUAAUAUUAAAAAUUUUAAGAAAGAAAAUGAGCCAUCAAAAAUAGAAAAACGAAAAGUUAAUGAAACAAAGGAAUUAGAACAAACAUUAGUGCAAAUGAGUCAUAGAAUUUCAAAUUAUAUGGAAACGAAGGUUUCAACAGCUGAUGAUGCUUUCAUGAAAUUUAUAAAAGUGCAAUUUAACAAUAUUCCAGAACAGGAAAAAAAUAUAAGAAGAAAAAUGAUUAUGAAUGCCCUGAUUAUACCAUUAUCAGAAAAACUCCAUCAAAAUGGUUGUAAAUGCAAUGCUCUUUUCAAGAAAUUGCUAAUAAGGAUAUUUUCACAUUAAAUAAUAAAUCCAC
rnacentral:lncRNA from 1 species